UACAGUCAUAUCACGUUGAAACACGGGUUCUCCUACGAUCACCAAAGUGAAGCAACAUCGAGCCUGGUCAGUACCUAGAUAGGUGACCGCUUGAGAAUACCACGUGAU